rnacentral:misc_RNA from 1 species
GAAGACUUGUAUCGAAAUCUUAUAUUUUACAAGUAGUAUACAUAUGUAUAUUGGAUGUAUAGAGUGAAUCAUCAAACUUGGUAUGAAGCUUCCACAAAUGUACUACUAUUUAUUAACCAGUGAAGAAUCUUCUCCAAGACUGCCAAGGAAGAAAUCCCCCACAAUUAGGACAUCUCUUAUAAAAUUUGUUCUUAAGAACAAGUCCUGAACCCCCACAAACUUCACAUUUCCUCUGUUUUACAAUUCUUUUGCUGAACUCGACUCCUGCUACCACAAAUGGUGUCACACCCGCCAAAGAUCCAGCAACAAUUUGCCAAGUGAUUUCCACCUGAGUUGGAUCUGAAGUAAUUAUAUCGGUGGCCGCAACGGCGUUGAUUGGCUUGCUUAAUUGCUUGUUCCGUUUCAUAAGAAUAGGGAGCUGGGUUUGCUUGUUUAAUGGAAUUGCUGGUGAAUUGAAUCCAUGAAGAGGCGCCAAUGGAGUAGCCAUUGGAGAGUAAAGAGCACACAAUUCUUCUUUUU